AUACGUAGGGGGCGAGCGUUGUCCGGAAUGACUGGGCGUAAAGGGCGUGUAGGCGGCGGUGUAAGUCUGGAGUGAAAGUCCCGCAUUCAAUGUGGGAAUUGCUUUGGAUACUGCAGUGCUAGAGUGCGGAAGAGGUAAGUGGAAUUCCCAGUGUAGCGGUGAAAUGCGUAGAGAUUGGGAGGAACACCAGUGGCGAAGGCGACUUACUGGGCCGUAGCUGACGCUGAGGCGCGAAAGUGUGGGGAGCAAACAGGAUUAGAUACCCUGGUAGUCCACACUGUAAACGAUGAAUGCUAGGUGUAGGAGGUAUCGACCCCUUCUGUGCCGCAGUAAACACAGUAAGCAUUCCGCCUGGGGAGUACGGUCGCAAGAUUAAAACUCAAAUGAAUUGGCGGGG
rnacentral:rRNA from 1 species